UUACGGCCGUAUUACAGUUAAACAUCGGUUCCCGUACAAUCACCGAAGUUAAACAACAUUGGGCCUGGUCAGUACCUAGAUGGGUGACCGCUUGAGAAUGCCAGGUACUGUAA